CACAUGUGCGGCAGCCUCACCACUGAGUCAUGCUUGUGAGGCCUGCUGGAGACCAAAGACAGGGGCUACAAGCUCAAAACCGCCUGGUUAGUGCUGACUCUAUUGAUUUCCUGGCCUUCCACUUCCAAACCUUCCUUGGAUGGCUAAACUCCUUCUGGAAGACACACCUGUUUUUUAUAUUUGCCUGGUAUACCUCACUUCUUUGAGUGACAGCACCCCAGAGAUCCCCUUCUCCACUCUCACUCUUUGUAGUUAAGGUACUGCCAACAAGAAGGCCCAAUCAAGAUCCUCCCACAACAAGAGCAGAUUGUGAGCGUGGCAAGCUCUAUGCUGAGCACUGGAAGGACAAAGAGAGAUUGGGCACAGACUUCUCACUGAUCCAGGUGAUGAAGAGCUCACAUCUGAGAGGAUGUGACCAUGGAUGACCCACCAGAAUGUCAUGGGAUCCAGCUACAGCCAAGGAAGCACAGAGCACCGUGGGAGCGAUUUAUUGUGCUUGGGGAUGGGGAAGGGGACAUGGGAGGAGCCAUAUUGAGAAAGUAGCAUGGGUACUUGGCUUCACAGAGUGUGGCAGCUUUCAUCAGGAAGUGAUGGUGGGGGAACAGCGUCUCUGGCGGAGGGAAGCAGCAGGUGCAGAGGUGCAGAGGUGUGAGGAGUCUGUCACAUUCUGGGAAGGGAGUAUGGUUGGGUGACAAUGCAAGACAGAGAAAGCAAGGAGGGAAGGAGGGGCCUAGCCUGAGGAAUAAAGAAUAAUAAAAGCAGGAAAACAAUU
rnacentral:lncRNA from 1 species